rnacentral:rRNA from 1 species
UACGUAGGGGGCUAGCGUUGUCCGGAUUUAUUGGGCGUAAAGAGCGUGUAGGCGGCCGGGUAAGUCCGGUGUGAAAACUCGAGGCUUAACCUCGAGAUGUCAUCGGAAACUGUUCGGCUAGAGUCCGGAAGAGGAGAGUGGAAUUCCUGGUGUAGCGGUGAAAUGCGCAGAUAUCAGGAAGAACACCUAUGGCGAAAGCAGCUCUCUGGGACGGUACUGACGCUGAGACGCGAAAGCGUGGGGAGCGAACAGG